rnacentral:lncRNA from 1 species
UUAUUAAAUAAAAGAAUAGUAAAUUAAAAAUAUUAAUUAGAAAAUAUAAUUUGAAGAUAAACAUUAAAAUUGUAUUGGAAAUUAAAAUAUAAUAUUAUUUUAGGACAAACAAUUUUAUAAAAUACAAUAAUUAUUAAGAAAUAAAGAAAAAUACUUUAUAUAUAUAUAUUAUGAAAAAGAGGAAAUAAAUCCUAAUAAAAAAAUUAGCACAAGUA